rnacentral:lncRNA from 1 species
CCCUUUGGUAAUGUGGCAUGGUAUUGGAGCCCUUUAGGUUUCCUGUGCAUGUAGUCCUGGAUUGAAGGAGACCUAUAGAGCUUCAGCUCGCUUACAGGAAAGUUGAGAGAGGCAUAUCGUCACAAGUUCCGGUUCUACACUAUGAUGGAUGUUAGUUGUCGAAUUCCAAAACCUUUGUUGAGGCAGUCAAAAGUGCUUUCCUGGAGAUCCCUUUU